AAUGGGGCUGGCUGAGCACCGUCGAUCCGCGAGGGCCCUCCGAGGAAGGAGCCACAGAGCCGGGUCGCCUUCCGCAGAGCUCGGCGCUGCGGCUUCAGGCGGGAGGGGUCACGGGCUCUCGCCGGCUGGGCUGCCCCAACCGGAGCCCUUGGGGUGCGGAGAUGUGUGGCUUGUGACGGAGAGGGGCUUAGAGAUGCAAACAGACUGAGAGAGAGAAACAGAAGCUGAUUCUGUGACAGAAACACAGUUCUAUGCAAGCACAGAUGCGGCGGGUGGAGUGGUGGUGAUGUGAGCGCAUUGCGGAGGGCUUCUGUGUGCAGGUUUUUCUCUGGGCUCGGGGUGCCUUGAUUGUAAGCAGGUCGACACCUUUCUUCGUGGCUGUGUUUUUGCUCUGGUCUUAGCUUUUGGUUUGCCCUUUAAGCAAAUACUCUGGCAUCCAGAAGACUGGCAGACUGUUCCAGGGCUGGGACUGCAGAUAUAUUGUGUUCUGCUUGCGGUUGCAGCGGGUGGCAGGGAGGGGAGCAAGCUGCAAGGGAGGAGGGAGGUGUUUGUCCCCUAUUGCUGUAGAGCCCUGGGCACCUGACAAGCUUAAGGAAGUCAUUGAGAUACAGGAGGAGGAAGCACCCAACUCCUAGACCCUUCACAAACUCCAUCAGUGCUGAAAGUAUGGCCAGGACUCACUUCUCCCUUGCAGCUGUAAUUACAGUUUCAGGCCGAGAUCCAGGAGCUGCAGAGGAAGGGAGAGGCGCAGUAACCUACAUGUACCCAAGGGGUGGGGGGGUGGGGAGAUCUGCAUUCAUUUUUAAAAUCUGAGGGAAAGGAAAAACAAGAUGUACAGGUGGGGGUCUGAGGAAAGACUGUUUUUGAAAGAGGUUAUCAGGGAAUGGAAAAGGUUAAUCCUCCCUCGUUCUGGAGAAUCUGCUUCCCAAAUCAGCCCUUCUCUCCAUCACCAGACCUGGGGCAGCAGCUGGUCUUAGAGAUACCCCUGUGCUCCACACUCCAUCAUCCCCCCUAACUCACCUCCAGCUCUGUAUUAACCAGUGGAUAAUGGUGAGACUUAAACUCAUUAAUUUCCAGGUGGAGAAAAUGGAGGAGGGGCAGGUCUCUAUAGAGAAAGGAGGCCAAGAACUGGAUCUUCCUACCUAGGAAGACUGCUGCAUCCCUUUCCCAGCCCUUGGCAGAGGCCUGUCUUUGCAAGGCCAAGGCCGUAAGGGAUGCUUGGAAUUUUAGUUUGUUUCUGACAAAGUAGUCAAGGCCUAAAAGAUUCUCAGUUGAAGCUCACUGAGGAGAGCUCUAUUUUCUCCAAAGCCUCAGUCUAGUCCACUAAAUAAAUGAGUGAUCAUGGAUUCCUAGCCUCAUCUCCUCUCAAAUAUGUAUUGAGUAUGUACUAUGUGCCAACCAUUGCGUAAUCAUUAUAUCUUAUGUUCUUCCUUUGCUCUCCUUAGUGGGUGUCUGCGAUGUUAAAUGUUCUGUGCCCCAUCUAGACACUCCCAGAACCUGCUCUGGGGCUGCAGAAAUGUGUCAGAACCUGCACAGUUCAUGUGAGGCUGCAGUUCUUGUUGUGCAAACUGCAGACACAGUGCUGUCCUUCAAGUCCCAGAAGGCAAGCCUGGCUGGAGGGCAGAAAAGAAGGCAGCUUCUCUUGUCCCUGAACCUUAGGCAGGGUUGUCCUAAGAAGUAUUAACAGCCACUGCCUUCAAAAUCGUUCUCCUUCCAAAAGGCCCUUACUUGGCGCUCCCCUCCCGCCCCCACUGAGAUGGCUGCUUUUACUGUUCUUUGGGGCCUGGCUUAAGCUUCUGAUGACCAGUCCUCCACCCCGAAGUUGUCCGCAUUAGUGAGCCUCAUCUCCGUAAUUGCUUCCCCAUAAUUCCAUCAGACGUGGCUCUGCCCGUCACUGAGGUGCCUGCCGCCAGUACAAUCUCCAGAUGCCUCCCCAAGAAAUGCCCCCUUUUAGGUGGAAACCUAACACCUUUCUCCCUGAGAGUUUAAACCACAGGCACCAUGGACAGGGCCUGCCAGGUUCCUACUACUGAUCAUCUACAUGGGAAGGGCAUUUUUUUUUUUAAAUUACUUGUGUAAACUAUUGUUCCAGAAACCUUUAAUGUGUGAGGGAGUGUUCUGGGUUUGCUAGGGCUUUUUCUGGGUUCACCAUGUCUCAUUAUAAAGUGUGUUUUUAUAGAGGGCUUUAAUGGCUGAAAUGCAGCCAUGAAUGUACCACUCUGCCCCCUGGAUAAUUUCAAGGCCCCUUUUGUGUUCUACAGAUAGAGGUACGGGGUGAGGGUCAGUCCUAGCUUUUUCCCCUUGGCUGUAUUAGGGACCUAUUUAUGUGCAAUGAUAUUUAUAUAAGAAACCUGAAGAUUUUUGCUUUUUCUAAGGCAUUCGUUUAAUUCUUAACAUCAUCUUCUCCCCUACCUGUCUAUUUCAGCCCCUCUAAUUAAAUGAUGAAAAAAUACUAUAUGAUUUUUUAAAUAUAGGACAUGUUUGAGGCAGUUUGUUGACCAAAUAUGCUAUGGAGACCCCCAUGGAUUCACACAAACCAACAUCUAUAUGGUCCUCAUGACCACGGGACUCAUAGGUUUCUCACGGUGGCAGCACCAGAUGUCUUAAAAUGGAUAUAGAAAUGUAUCAAAAGAAAAACUGGUAACAUUCUUCUUUCCCUGCCAGAGACUGCCCAGGCCCAUAUCUCUGUCUAAGUGAAAAGAAACUGAUCCUUUAACAAAGGCAAAGGUAAAUUUCUCUAUCACCUCUACCGCUUCCUGUCCCCAAUAAGGUGGGUGGGGGGAACAGUUUUGGGGGCCAUAUAUAUGGAGCCUUAACCAGAAAAAUAAGUAUGGGGGAGGGGUAAUUUCUCAGUAGGCAUAUGCCCAUAUACACAGAUUUUUUUGUAUAAUCAUAUUCAUUGCUAAUAUUUAUAGGAAAGCAUUUAUCCCCAACACACACACACACACACACACACAAAACCAAUCCACCUAUAUAUACUGUCUCCAUAGAGAAAUGUUUUUCUCUUUCCCUCUACUGAACUUACAUAAUACCCCCACCCCUUAGAAUGUUCCAAACCUUAGAAUGGAGUGCUCUGGGGGCAGCUGCAAAGCCUGCUCCCUAGGACAGAUGGAACCACCCUUCUUCAUCUACUCUGUGGGUGGUUUUAGAGCUGUGAGUCAACAGGGCUGAGGGAUGUGCUGGUGAUUUGUGUUUGAGUCUUGCCUGACUGAUUCAUUGUGUUGAGUUUGUCAACAACAAUUAUGAGAAUUCUGAUACCUAAUAAAGAUAUUUUUUUUUUCUUCCAAGUCCCAUC
rnacentral:lncRNA from 1 species